GGCGUUUUGGCGGAGUGGUUAUCGCGAUAGACUAGAAAUCUGUUUCCUUCGGGAGCGUAGGUUCAAAUCCUGCAGACGUCG
rnacentral:tRNA from 1 species